rnacentral:rRNA from 1 species
CAAUAGCGUAUAUUUAAGUUGUUGCAGUUAAAAAGCUCGUAGUUGGAUUUCGGUUAAGAGCGACCGGUCCGCCGUUUGGUGUGCACUGGUUGGUUUUAACUUCCUGUAGAGGACGUGCUCUGGGUUUAACGACCUGGACUCGGAGUCUACGUGGUUACUUUGAAAAAAUUAGAGUGUUCAAAGCGGGCUUACGCUUGAAUAUUUCAGCAUGGAAUAACACUAUAGGACUCCUGUCCUAUUUCGUUGGUCUCGGGACGGGAGUAAUGAUUAAGAGGAACAGUUGGGGGCAUUCGUAUUUCAUUGUCAGAGGUGAAAUUCUUGGAUUUAUGAAAGACGAACUUCUGCGAAAGCAUUUGCCAAGGAUGUUCNCAUUAA